rnacentral:lncRNA from 1 species
ACACUGAAAACUAUGAAGUCAGUCUCGCGGGCUCCUCACAAGCAUUUCCACUGUUGUGUUGAUGACAAUACACUUGUUCAGUCCUCAAGUCAUGUCAGACUCUGUGCGACCCCAUGGACUGCAGACCGCCAGGCUCCUCUGUCCAUGGGAUUCUCAAGAACCAGGCUGCUCCUGCGACGGGGAGGAAGAGGAGGGUACCCCACUUGUCCUGAGCCGGACAGCAGAUUUGUAGGCUCUGAAGUGGAAUGAUGUAUCACAAUCACACUAGGAGUUCAAAAGCCUUAGAAAUUGCUUUAAGACAUCACACAAGCCACCUCUCUGGAAUUAAACCUAUUCCUCGACACUUUGCUGCUUUAAGAAGUUUUAAGUGAUGACAACGGUCGGCUUUUCCACACUUUUUUCUGCGGAUGACACUCUACCAGCUACGCUGCGAAUGCAGAUUCGACGCUCUGCCUGCGAAGAUUCUGAGAUCUGGUGAACUUUCUGGAAACCCAGAACUCUUCAAGGAUGGGGGGCAGAGCCCAAACCACAGGGAGCGGUUCUGCUCAUGGCUUGCCCAUCCAGCACCCUCCUCUUGAGACAGGGCGUGGCUCUGAGCAGGGACCACCCCUGCAGACUGGCCCUUGGGCAGCGCGCUCCACGCCACCCUCCGUCACAUGGCAGUGACUGUGUUCCCUGGCCCCCACAGGCUGUCCCCCACCAAACGCGAGCUCUCCAGGGACAGAGUCCUCGCGAGAAAGUGCUGGCCCUGAAUCCCAGCCACGGGCCGAUUGUUGGCGUUCCGUGGUCGUCAACCGCAACGUCAAGUCAAAGGAAACAGCGGCGUGCUGACGGAGCCCUCCGGCGGGGGUCUCAGUGCCCAGCCGAGUGCACGCCCAGCCUCCACAGACCGGCUUCAGCACGGCCCACCAGCCUCAACGUUUUUAUUCACAUCUCUGUUGGAGUGAAUUCUGCAUGA